rnacentral:rRNA from 1 species
AACGUACGCUGGCGGCACGCUUAACACAUGCAAGUCGAACGAAGUAGCAAUACUUAGUGGCAGACGGGUGAGUAACAUGUGGGUAUCUGCCCUUUGGCCUGGAAUAACACGAGGAAACUUGUGCUAAUACCGGAUAAGUCUUUACGGAGAAAGCUUUAUGCACCAUUGGAUGAGCCCGCACUUGAUUAGUUUGUUGGUGGGGUAAUGGCCUACCAAGACUGUGAUCAAUAGCUGAUUUGAGAGGAUGAUCAGCCACAUUGGGACUGAGACACGGCCCAAACUCCUACGGGAGGCAGCAGUGGGGAAUCUUGCACAAUGGAGGAAACUCUGAUGCAGCGAUGCCGCGUGAGUGAAGAAGGCCCUUGGGUUGUAAAGCUCUUUCGUCGGGGAAGAAAAUGACUGUACCCGAAUAAGAAGGUCCGGCUAACUUCGUGCCAGCAGCCGCGGUAAUACGAAGGGACCUAGCGUAGUUCGGAAUUACUGGGCUUAAAGAGUUCGUAGGUGGUUGAAAAAGUUAGUGGUGAAAUCCCAGAGCUUAACUCUGGAACUGCCAUUAAAACUUUUCAGCUAGAGUAUGAUAGAGGAAAGCAGAAUUUCUAGUGUAGAGGUGAAAUUCGUAGAUAUUAGAAAGAAUACCAAUUGCGAAGGCAGCUUUCUGGAUCAUUACUGACACUGAGGAACGAAAGCAUGGGUAGCGAAGAGGAUUAGAUACCCUCGUAGUCCAUGCCGUAAACGAUGUGUGUUAGACGUUGGAAAUUUAUUUUCAGUGUCGCAGCGAAAGCGAUAAACACACCGCCUGGGGAGUACGACCGCAAGGUUAAAACUCAAAUGAAUUGACGGGGACCCGCACAAGUAGUGGAGCAUGUGGUUUAAUUCGAAGAUACGCGCAGAACCUUACCAACACUUGACAUGUUCGUCGCGACUCUAAGAGAUUAGAGUUUUCGGUUCGGCCGGACGAAACACAGGUGCUGCAUGGCUGUCGUCAGCUCGUGUCGUGAGAUGUUGGGUUAAGUCCCGCAACGAGCGCAACCCUCACUUUUAGUUGCCAUCAUUAAGUUGGGCACUCUGAAAGAACUGCCAGUGAUAAGCUGGAGGAAGGUGGGGAUGACGUCAAGUCCUCAUGGCCCUUACGUGUUGGGCUACACACGUGCUACAAUGGUAUCUACAACAGGAAGCAAGACUGCGAGGUCAAGCAAAUCCUUAAAAGAUACCUCAGUUCGGAUUGCACUCUGCAACUCGAGUGCAUGAAGCUGGAAUUACUAGUAAUCGUGGAUCAGCGUGCCACGGUGAAUGCGUUCCCGGGUCU